UACAGAGGGGGGCAAGCGUUGUUCGGAAUUACUGGGCGUAAAGGGCGCGUAGGCGGCCUGUUAAGUUGAACGUGAAAUCCCCCGGGCUCAACCCGGGAACUGCGUCCAAGACUGACAGGCUUGAAUCCGGGAGAGGGAUGUGGAAUUCCAGGUGUAGCGGUGAAAUGCGUAGAUAUCUGGAGGAACACCGGUGGCGAAGGCGGCAUCCUGGGACCGGGUAUUGACGCUGAGGCGCGAAAGCUAGGGGGAGCGAAACAGGAAUUAGAUACCCGGAGG
rnacentral:rRNA from 1 species